UCUUGGAUGAGUUGCGAACGGGUGAGUAACGCGUAGGUAACCUGCCUUGUAGCGGGGGAUAACUAUUGGAAACGAUAGCUAAUACCGCAUAACAAUGGAUGACACAUGUCAUUUAUUUGAAAGGGGCAAUUGCUCCACUACAAGAUGGACCUGCGUUGUAUUAGCUAGUAGGUGAGGUAAUGGCUCACCUAGGCGACGAUACAUAGCCGACCUGAGAGGGUGAUCGGCCACACUGGGACUGAGACACGGCCCAGACUCCUACGGGAGGCAGCAGUAGGGAAUCUUCGGCAAUGGGGGCAACCCUGACCGAGCAACGCCGCGUGAGUGAAGAAGGUUUUCGGAUCGUAAAGCUCUGUUGUAAGUCAAGAACGGGUGUGAGAGUGGAAAGUUCACACUGUGACGGUAGCUUACCAGAAAGGGACGGCUAACUACGUGCCAGCAGCCGCGGUAAUACGUAGGUCCCGAGCGUUGUCCGGAUUUAUUGGGCGUAAAGCGAGCGCAGGCGGUUUGAUAAGUCUGAAGUUAAAGGCUGUGGCUCAACCAUAGUUCGCUUUGGAAACUGUCAAACUUGAGUGCAGAAGGGGAGAGUGGAAUUCCAUGUGUAGCGGUGAAAUGCGUAGAUAUAUGGAGGAACACCGGUGGCGAAAGCGGCUCUCUGGUCUGUAACUGACGCUGAGGCUCGAAAGCGUGGGGAGCGAACAGGAUUAGAUACCCUGGUAGUCCACGCCGUAAACGAUGAGUGCUAGGUGUUGGAUCCUUUCCGGGAUUCAGUGCCGCAGCUAACGCAUUAAGCACUCCGCCUGGGGAGUACGACCGCAAGGUUGAAACUCAAAGGAAUUGACGGGGGCCCGCACAAGCGGUGGAGCAUGUGGUUUAAUUCGAAGCAAC
rnacentral:rRNA from 1 species